ensembl:snRNA U6 U6 spliceosomal RNA
AUGCUUGCUUCAGCACCACAUAUACUAAAAUUACAGAGAAGAUUAGCAUGGCCACUGCGCAAGGAUGACAUGCACCUCCCUGAAUCAUUCCACAAGAGA